rnacentral:rRNA from 1 species
UACGUAGGGGGCAAGCGUUGUCCGGAAUCAUUGGGCGUAAAGCGCGUGUAGGCGGCCCGGUAAGUCCGCUGUGAAAGUCCAGGGCUCAACCCUGGGAUGCCGGUGGAUACUGUCGGGCUCGAGUCCGGAAGAGGCGAGUGGAAUUCCUGGUGUAGCGGUGAAAUGCGCAGAUAUCAGGAGGAACACCCGUGGCGAAGGCGGUUCUCUGGGACGGUACUGACGCUGAGACGCGAAAGCGUGGGGAGCGAACAGG